AACAUGUAUGUUGGUCAAUGUAUACAACCUGAAAUCAAACAUUUGAAAUCCUUAGACAUUAGUGCUUGAUUGCAGUCUAGUUCUCAAUAGGGAUGGAAAGCAGCUCAGUGAUUUCCCACGCAGUGACGUUUUGGCUGUGAGGCCGCCAUGCUCGUGGACUGCGGAUGGACGUGUUCCGCGGAGUGUUAAGUGAGAGAGGCGGCGGUGGAGCUCAGAAAGGCCCAUAAGGUGUUCGAGCAGGUUGGGAAGAAGGGAAUUGAGGAGGGGUGGCUCCUCUGGAGGCCAAGAAAAUGAGGAUUUUGAGAACUGCCCCCCUUUUGUGAUCUAUGCUAUUCGGCGGCUUGUUCAUGGAGAGUCUUCUUCCGGAGAGUGUGCUAGACAAGGGUUUGCCCUGUGUCUUGCAGCCAAGGUUGGGAUAAUUCCUACUGUUAGUGUGGAAGUGUUGAAUCAGUGACGAAACUGAUUGAAUAUGAGUAAGGGUCAUGGCCAAGAUGGAGGGCGAGAUGCAAGGGAGUAUGGGUCACUGGAGAUAUCUGUGUGAAUCUCUGUAAAUCGGCUUCUCUUUUCCUGAAGAAGCCGUGUAAAAUCAAGUACUUGGAGCUCCUGGCAUGCGAGAGUGGUUUGAAAAUGCAACUGAUACUGGGGAUCCGGAUAUCUUUUCUUUGGUUUUAAAAUUGCAGGAAAGAUGACAUGGUUGGCAAACUAUUGCUGUCUGUUUAGUCAAACAGCUUCUUUGUCCGAGAUCAUCUUUCACACCUUGCUCCCUGCUUUGAGGAAGAACAAGAUUAACCAGAAGGGUGGCUGCUCUGAAGAAGUGACAAAGAAUAUCCGCACUUUCUGUGAGGUGUAAUCAAAGAGUCACUUCUUAUGUCAUCUCACAACAGGAAGCAUUUGGCAUCUGAUAUUCUACUACUCCUACCAAGGCUGUCAGUCUCAUGCAUUCAGACUCUUCUCUCUCCAAAAUUGGUCCUUGGGCUUGAUUGUAUCCUCGCAGAUUCACAGCAAUGGAAGAUUUGAUUGCAUUACAUGAACACAAACUGUAAAAGAGUUGGUUUCCGAAUUCAAAACUGGUUCUGGAUUCUUGUUAUUUGUGCAAAACUUGACGAGCUUGUUUGUUGAUGAAGGUGCAGUCACAGAUAAACCAUCAGACCAAGCCAGACAACAGAUGAAAAUUCAGAAAUGAAUAUCCCAGAGGAUGAAUCUCCUGCGAUGUCAGAAAAUGCAGGUCUCUUGAAGGAGUGGGUGAUAGGUACCAUGCCAUGUGUUUUAAAGAAUUUUAGACUCAAUUCCAGUGCGAAGUUUUUGCCACAUUCUGAACUAGUGAAAUUUAUAGAAGCAAAGUUUAGGGUACAGACAGAAAUUAUGAAGUUUUUGGCUGUUCAGUGAUUAUUCUCUGCAUCUCUAAGCAUUGAAGUAACAUCAUUUGAACUGCAAGAGAAGUUUAAAUGGCCAAAAGCAGCCACCUCGAGUGCUCUAUGCGGAGUGUGCAUAGAACUACUGAUGCAUUUUCUUAGGUGCUCAGAAAGGGGAAGUUUCACAUUUGUUGUCAAAUGGCCUUGAGCAUAAUGAUCUUGGAUCUUACUUUAUUUGUUUCCCCAGCACUUUGUGCAAUAUUUUUUCUGUUCCACUUUAUAGGCACUGAACAGUGAGGAUGAAGAGGCAUUUAAGAAAUUGCAAACAAUGGAAUCAAGACUCUCCACUGAGGUAUACAUUUAUUUAUUCAGCCCUUUCUGCAUAAUGUUUGAUAUGUGACACUGUGUGUUGAUUAGUAUUGAUCACCAGUUAAUUUAUCAUCACAAGUGUAAUACUUGAACAAUCUUUUACAGAUAAGUAAGAUAUCUGUACAAAAUAGGUUUACCAAACAAACUUUCUGAAUGAUUGACAACCAUUUAAGACACCAUGAGAUGGUGAUGUUGGUGAACUUGAGGCAAAUGUCAAUGGUUAUCAACCAUUUUGUAAAUCUAUUUUGUAAUACUAUUUUAUAAGAACAUCAUUAUCCAGUUGAGUUCUCUGAAGCUGCAUUGGAGCUUGUCAUAUGUUGCAAGAAGGCUUUACCGUAUGUGUUCUAUCUCAACAGAAAAUCAGGUGAUGACAAUAUAUUCUUUCCUGGCGCAAGCAUUUGUCAAUUAUCAUUCUGUGGAGAACAGUGAACAACUUGUGUAGCGCAUUGGAGCAAUUUUAUAGAAGAUAUUCAAGCAAAAGGUAUGUCCAAGAGGUGAGGACUUACAGCUUUUGACAUUGGAAACCCUUCUGGGGAAGAGUUUAAAAUCCUCAUCCUUUUCCCGGUGCAAAAUGUUCUCUGGCUCAAUAAUCUACAUUUUGCUGCUUAAAUUUCCUGGUUGGUGGUUGCUUGGUACUCUGUUAACAGUGAAGUUGGUCCUAGCUUUGUUAUAUUUUUACCCUUUUUUAUUAUGUUACGCUAGAGCUUGUUGAGCCGUUUUGUGAGGCAUUAAAUUCACAGUGAUAUAUUUAUUUCUAUUUAUUCACCAA